rnacentral:rRNA from 1 species
AACGAACGCUGGCGGCAUGCCUAACACAUGCAAGUCGAACGAGACCUUCGGGUCUAGUGGCGCACGGGUGCGUAACGCGUGGGAACCUGCCCUUAGGCUCGGAAUAACUCCCCGAAAGGGGUGCUAAUACCGGAUAAUGUCUUCGGACCAAAGAUUUAUCGCCUUUGGAUGGGCCCGCGUUGGAUUAGCUAGUUGGGAGGGUAAAAGCCUACCAAGGCGACGAUCCAUAGCUGGUCUGAGAGGAUGAUCAGCCACACUGGGACUGAGACACGGCCGAGACUCCUACGGAAGGGAGCAGUGGGGAAUAUUGGACAAUGGGCGAAAGCCUGAUCCAGCAAUGCCGCGUGAGUGAUGAAGGCCUUAGGGUUGUAAAGCUCUUUUACCCGGGAUGAUAAUGACAGUACCGGGAGAAUAAGCUCCGGCUAACUCCGUG